CCCUUCAUCGUCUUCCCUCACUUACACUAUCCCCCGCUCUCUACCCCAAGAUGCUCUCGCCAUUUCUACUCUUAUUGGGACAAUUUGGGCCCAUUUCUUUGCCUACAGCGUGGCCGAAGCUGAUUUGGAGGAUUAUCUGAGGAAUCGUGUCUCAGAAACGGACAUUAGAAAGGAGGCUGACGACAAUGGUGCAAAAAACUAUUUCCUGCUGGCAUGUUUUCCUAAGGAUAAAAAUGAGUCGGGAGAAGGAGAGGAAAAGGUGCUAGGCGUGGUACAACUGGUCAGAGAAUCCACUGAGCCAUGUCUGACACUUCCAAAGCAGGUAGAAUUGCAGAGACUUUACGUACACUCAUCUCAUCAUGGUACAGGGCUCGCGAAAGAGUUAGUAAAAACGGCAGAGGCUCAAGCUGGAGAGCUGGGAGGAAAGAACAUAUAGCUGGGAGUCUGGGAGGAUAAUGGAAGAGGCAAGAGUUUCUAUGAAAAGAUGGGGUUCAAACCUGUUGGGGAGCAUUGGUUCUGGGCGAGUCGUAGCAAAAGACAUGACUGGAUUAUGCAAAAGCCAUUUUAAAUAUGAC
rnacentral:sRNA from 1 species